GAUGAAGAACGUAGCGAAAUGCGAUAAGUAGUGUGAAUUGCAGAAUUCAGUGAAUCAUCGAAUCUUUAAACGCACAUUGCGCCCUUUGGUAUUCCUUAGGGCAUGCCUGUUCGAGCGUCAUUUAAACCUUCAAGCUAAGCUUGGUGUUGGGUGACUGUCCGCUUCACGGCGGACUCGCCUCAAAAUUAUUGGCGGCCGGUACAUUGGCUUCGAGCGCAGCAGAAACGCGAACUCGGGCCCGUCGUAUUGGCUCCCAGAAGCUAUCUUCACAAUUUUGACCUCGGAUCAGGUAGGGAUACCCGCUGAACUUAAGCAUAUCAAUAAGCGGAGGA
rnacentral:misc_RNA from 1 species